UACGUAGGGUGCAAGCGUUGUCCGGAAUUAUUGGGCGUAAAGAGCUCGUAGGCGGUUUGUCGCGUCUGCUGUGAAAACGCGAGGCUCAACCUCGCGCCUGCAGUGGGUACGGGCAGACUAGAGUGCGGUGGGGGAGAUUGGAAUUCCUGGUGUAGCGGUGGAAUGCGCAGAUAUCAGGAGGAACACCGAUGGCGAAGGCAGAUCUCUGGGCCGUAACUGACGCUGAGGAGCGAAAGCGUGGGGAGCAAACAGG
rnacentral:rRNA from 1 species